AGGUUUCGUUUUUAAUCAUUUUGGUCGUCGUAGUUGAUUCAACAUGUAGAAAACGAUGUAGACUUGAUCUUGAGAAAAUUGGAUACAAAACGUGUGUUGAAAAAGACACAGGAUGUAAGAAAAGUCCGAGCGAAACAGAAAGAUGUUAUGAGAAGCUGCCUGGUACAAAACUAUCAGAAGAUGUUAUAAAUGUGGCUUCAAUCAGUACUACAAAA